UGAGCCGUUGUAGCUUUCUGUGGUCAGGCAUUGGGGAUUUGAACUCAGAUCCUCACACUUGCCUAGCAAGCACAUUUACACACUGGACCAUCUUCCCAGCCCCAAGGAUAUGUUUUUCACUGUUGAUCACUAAAACUAAAACCUGAAUCCAAACAAUACUAUCCCACAACCCCUCAAGGAUGCACGCUGGAUUAUAUUCACUUUUUCUUUAAAAAGCAAGCCACUUGGCACAAAGCAUUUGUCCCACCAGGUCAGGGAUGCCUGGAGGCAAGCAUCCCAGAAAGCCAUUCUAGAGGCUAUAUGCCACAUCUACCUGGAAUGCCACCGAGAGGUGGAUUUCAGUUGGCUCAUGUCAGUAUAACCAAUAAAAACAGCAGGGAUAUAAAGCUCUCGGACAGAAUGUUUGCCUCACGUCAAAGUGGCCCUGGGUUCAAACCCACCCCCAACUCCAUCUUCAGAGCACCUCACAGGCUUACCCACCUCAAAAAAUAAGUUGCAUCUGACCCAGGCUUCCUAUGAACUAGACCAGGGCUUCUUAACCUUUCCUCUUAUGACCCAAUUUUUUAACUUGAAAAAUUUGUAUGAAACCUCUGGUACAUAGAAGUAUAAAAUAGUAUACAAAUCAACCAUUUACUGGGAAUUAAAUAAUUAAUGGCUUUAUUUUGGGGCUAAUGAGAGGGCUCAGUAUGUAAAAAUGUUUGCCCCCAAGCCCAGUGACCUGAAUUUGAUCCCUGGUAAUUAUGCUUUAUCAUAAAAUGUAAUUUAUUUCAAAUUUUCUUAUGUUAAGACAGUUUUUCUCCAUAGGGCAGGCUCCAGGGAGUUUAAGAGGGUGACUGUAGCUGAGACUCCUCACAGUGGGGUAUAUGAGACUGAAAGGGCCACCUUCUGUAGCCAGGCAGAGCCCUCAGUGGAGAAAUAAGGACACCAACCCUCCCACAAAUUCUUCAACCCAAAAUUUGUUCAACCUAUAAGAAGUGCAGGGACAAAGAUGGAGUAGAGACAGAGGGAAUGGCCCACCAAUGAGUGUCCCAGCUUGAGACCCAUCUCAUGGGCAAGAAGCAAUCCCUGAUACUAUUGAUGUUCCUCUGUUGUGCUUGCAGACAGGAGCCUAGCAUAACUUUCCUCUGAGAGGCUCCAACUAGCAACUGAUGGAAACAUGCAGAGACCCCCAGCCAAACAUUAGACGGAGCUCAGGGAGUCUUAUGGAAGAGCUGGGGGAAGGAUUGAGGGACCCAGAGGGAAUAGGGACUCCACAAAAAGACUAACAGAGUCAACCAGUCUGAGCUCUUGAAAGCUCCCAGAGACUGAACUACCGACCAAAGAACACCAUGGACUGAACACUGCCCCCCUGCCACAUAUUUGAAGCAGAAGUGCAAUUUGGUCUUCAUGUUGCUCCCCCCAAAACUGGAGCUGGAGCUGUCCCUCACUCUGUUGCCAGCCAGUGGAACCUGUUCCCCUAACUGGGCUGUCUUGUCUGACUUCAGUAAGAUAAGAUGUACCUAGUCCUGCAGUGACUUGAUGUGCCAGAGUGGGUUGGUACCCACAGCAGGUAGGGGGCCCCCCCUUCUCACAGGAAAAGGGAAGGGGGAGAAUUGGGGGGGGGGAAACUUGUGCCAAGAUGUAAAAAAAAUAAAUGAGUAAAUAAAUAAAUGGAAAAAAUUGAAAACAAGAAAAAAAAAGAGGAAAGUUUUUCUCUUGUGAUUCUUUUCAUUGGUUACAGUAAUAGUCAUUUUUAUUUCAGUGUAAGUGUUGAACCCUGGACCUCAUAUGCACUACAUAAUUCCUCUACCACUGAGUUACACCUCAGUCCAGUAAUUACAGCUUAAUAGAUGUGUAAUGUCACUUUUUAUUAUGUUAUUUAUCUUGAUUUUACACAUAUUUCCUUUUCAAUGAUUAAUGAGUUAGAGAUCAUUCCGCACAUAACACUUUCUGCUUCUGCUGAAAUGUACUUGUUGAACAGAAAACAGACCUACUGCUCCAUGUUACCUCUUUGUGGUUUUCAAAAAAAGCCCAUACUGAUGAAACAAUUCACAAGCAUCAUAACUUUUUAUAAUGGGUUAAUGUUAAAAACAAACUCAGUUUCUUUCAUCUCAAACAUUCACUUGUAGGCAUUAUUGUUAUUUGCAAAAGUAGACAUUUUUAUUAUAUUUACCGCCUGACCUUUUCUGCAUGUGUAUGUGUGUGCUAUGCUUGCAUAUAUGUAUGUGUGUACAAAAGGUGUUUGGGGGUGUGUGUGUAUGAGUAUGUGCAAGAGUGCACAUGUAUGUGCAUACAUGUAGAAACCUGAAGUGGACAUCAGCUGUCUUCCUAGUUUGCGUCCCUUGUGGGUAAGGCAAGGCCUCUCAAUGGCCCAGGAGCUCACUCUUUGGCCACUCUGGCAGCCAGUUUGCUCCAGGGGUUGACUGUCAGGUCUCCCUCCGGCUUUUAUAACGGAUGCUAGGGAUCCAGACUGUAGGCCUCACCUUUGACCUUCUCAGCCCACUGCCUGUCUCUUUAGGUUAAUUAACAAUUUUCAAUCAUUUACAAUUUCAAUUUUUUUAUACCAAAUAUGGUAGAUUACAUGGGAGGGGUUUCUGUGUAUUUGGUGGUUUUGGCCUGCAAAUAAGAAUUAAAAACACAGGAAGGAUUCAUUAGGCAUUUCCAGGUGCCGCAUUGCUGGUCAUCUGGAAGACUAUGGCACUGUGACAUGGUGUCUGGUUUAGAAAAAGUAUUGUCUGGGAAGGCUGUCUUAAAAUCACACAAAGUUUGUUAAGUAUUUCCACAAUUCCAAGAGCCCUACUGAGGAAGCUGCUUCACUGAAGGGGUUUAGAAGUCAUACCAAAAUCAAAAGCAUGGAUUUGAUACUGAGUUUUAAGAUGCAAUGUGAAAGAACAAACCAGCUGCAUUUCCCAUGAAUAUCCAUCCACCUUUAAGGGCAGACUGCAGUUCUCCAGGGUACCAUAAUGCAAACAGCAACUACAGUGGAUAUAAAAUGUAAUUGAUGGCAAUGACUGAGGACAAACAUAAAUCAAGAGCUGGGUAACAUACUGGCAAAGGGUG
rnacentral:lncRNA from 1 species